AAUUUUGUCACAAAAACAUUUGAGGAAACUGUUUGAUAUUAUCUGAUAUGAAUUUUAAUGAACUAACAUUCCGACAGGGGACAAGAGUAUCGAGCAAAAUCGGCUGGCCAGUGCGGUACUGCUUGGAGAACUACAGGGGAUGUUAGAGACACCUGGGUGUGGUCCUGCUCAUUUUGAUCGUUAUCUUUCUGGGUUCUGAUCUUAUGUUAAACAGGGUCCUAAGUUGAGGUUCUGUAGUUUGUUAUUUCAGCCACAUCAAUUGCAGAUGAAAACAACAUUUGGGGAAAAU
rnacentral:misc_RNA from 1 species